UCGGGAAUAUUGCGCAAUGGAGGAAACUCUGACGCAGUGACGCCGCGUGCAGGAAGAAGGUUUUCGGAUUGUAAACUGCUUUAGACAGGGAAGAAAAAAGACAGUACCUGUAGAAUAAGCUCCGGCUAACUACGUGCCAGCAGCCGCGGUAAUACGUAGGGAGCAAGCGUUAUCCGGAUUUAUUGGGUGUAAAGGGUGCGUAGACGGGAAGACAAGUUAGUUGUGAAAUCCCUCGGCUUAACUGAGGAACUGCAACUAAAACUAUCAUUCUUGAGUGCUGGAGAGGAAAGUGGAAUUCCUAGUGUAGCGGUGAAAUGCGUAGAUAUUAGGAGGAACACCAGUGGCGAAGGCGACUUUCUGGACAGUAACUGACGUUGAGGCACGAAAGUGUGGGGUAGCAAACAGGAUUAGAUACC
rnacentral:rRNA from 1 species